UUGACCAUUUGACCUCCUAAUUGUGGAUUGUAACCAAUCACUGCAUGUGUGUACCAGCCACCUUGUGUAUGUGCUAGAGCUAACAAGAGACGUCCUGGUGGAGAUGGAUCUCUCUCUCUCUCUCGUCUAACACACACAUACUGGUGUGUUCUCCCCCCUUCUGUCCUCAGUCUGUGAGUCGUGACAUGCCCUGGGACAGCUAGGGCUGCCUGAGGACCGAUAGGCCUACCCUUCUCCUUUUAGAGUCUGAAGGAAGGGCUGACAGCUGAGCAGAGACUCCACCUGUUCGACAACAAAGACACUAAGGACUUCUGACAGGGACGUGUAGUCCACCAACGCUGCAUGUUUAGAGGCUCACUAUAUUUUAGCUCUGUAAUGUACUUACUUAGAAACACACUGGUCACAAACACACACGCAAUGUGUGUAUAUAUAUGUAUAUAUAUAUAUAUAUAUAUAUACAUACACAAUAUAUAUAAAAAACACAUGGUAUAAAGUUUCAAUUUCAUGUCGAUAGAAGAAGAGUCUGCAUUCUAUGCACUUCGGUUACUGUGACAUUUGUUUUGCGUUUUGAUUGCCAUGUCUUACUGUAAAUACUCUGUAUUGUUUUUAAUGAAGCGUCUUAUCAAGCAUACACUAAAUCGUGACUGAGUAAGCUACUGUUUUAACUCCUCAGACCGUUGUUAGCCAAAGGAGUAAGUGACGGCUAAACACAUUGAUGAUUGAAUAACCCUCACAUAACCAAUGGUAGGAACGAUGUUGCCUUCAGGCCUGUGUAUUCUGCUUGGUGUGGUCAGUGUGCACAUGUUGAAGCUUUCCUCCAAACCCCUUAUCAUUUCAGCACAGAUGGAAGUCUUGCUAAAUAAACAAGCUAUGGGAAGAAAAGAUUUGCCUGCAUCACUGUACAAGUAAACUAGCUGUUGCACAGGAUAUUGCUCAUUCAAUGCCUGAGGUGUUGGCUUGCAUAUGGUGAAUACUCAUCAUAGAUUAUGUUUUUCUGAAAUCGUGGACCGUUUUGAAAUUAUCCCGUGACAGGUGACUGCUGAAUGCGUAUGGAUGGGAUUUGCUUGUUAUGAAAAUGAAUAUAAAUAUAUAUAUUUACAUUGAUAUAGUUUUUCUCCCAUCUCUCUGUAAUGAUAUUGGUCCAGUUUAUGGGAGGGAGUUCUUGGGUUAUGUUUGUAGUCAUGUUCAGUGGCAGUCCCUGUGUAUUUAUUUAAAUGUUUUGGGGUUUUGUUGCUCAUUCCCAUUCUCACUGUACUCUCUUAUUGUAAAUAUACAGCAAAUGUACACCAACUGACAACAGAUUUAUUAGCAAUAAAUAUUUUUGCACCAUG